rnacentral:rRNA from 1 species
UACAGAGGGGGCAAGCGUUGUUCGGAAUUACUGGGCGUAAAGGGCGCGUAGGCGGCCUGUUAAGUCGAACGUGAAAUCCCCGGGCUCAACCCGGGAACUGCGUCCGAUACUGGCAGGCUUGAAUCCGGGAGAGGGAUGCGGAAUUCCAGGUGUAGCGGUGAAAUGCGUAGAUAUCUGGAGGAACACCGGUGGCGAAGGCGGCAUCCUGGACCGGCAUUGACGCUGAGGCGCGAAGCCAGGGGAGCAAAACGGGG